rfam:Tuber melanosporum whole genome shotgun sequence assembly, scaffold_13, strain Mel28
GCCCGGAUGGCCAAGUUGGUAAGGCGUCGCACUCGUAAUGCGAAGAUCAGGCGUUCGACUCGCCUUUCGGGCA